GUCCCCAUCAUCUAGCUGGCCCAGGAUACCUGCCUUUCACGCAGGCGACAGGGGUUCAAAUCCCCUUGGGGACGCCA
rnacentral:tRNA from 1 species